rnacentral:rRNA from 1 species
UCUGCGCAGUGAGGGCAUGGGUGCUAAGGUCCAUGUCCGAGAGGGAAAGAACCCGGACCAUCAGCUAAGGUCCCAAAGUGUGUGCUAAGUUGACAAAACGCGGUGGAACUGCAUAGACAGCCAGGAUGUUGGCUUGGAAGCAGCCAUUCAUUUAAAGAGUGCGUAACAGCUCACUGGUCGAGCGGUUCCGCAUGGAUAAUGAUCGGGCAUAAGCACACCACCGAAGCUAUGGCCUCUAUUUAUAGAGGGGUAGGGGAGCAUUGUAGUGCCGUUGAAGGUGUACCUGCGAGGGAUGCUGGAGGAGCUACAAACGAAAAUGUAGGCAUAAGUAACGAUAAUGUGGGCGAGAAACCCACACGCCGGAAGACCAAGGUUUCCCCAGCUAUGCUAAUCAGCUGGGGGUCAGUCGGGGCCUAACGCGGACCCGAAGGGGGAAGUGGAUGGACAACAGGUUAAUAUUCCUGUACCCGCUCGCAUUGAAAGCGACGGAGGCGAGGAGUUGGUGCGUGCAGACGGAAUUGCACGUUGAAGGGCUCGGUAACGACCCGAUAGUACACCGAGGCUACGGCCAAGGUGAUAAUCCAGCAUAUCGACUUCCAAGAAAAGCAAGCGAAGCGGCCCGUACCGUAAACCGACACAGGUAGUUGGGAUGAGAAUUCUAAGGCGCUCGAGAGAUUCAUGGCUAAGGAACUAGGCAAAAUAGACCCGUAACUUCGGGAGAAGGGUCGCCCUGACGUAAGAGUCAGGGCCGCAGUGAAGAGGUCCAGGCGACUGUUUAUCAAAAACACAGGGCUCUGCUAAAUCGAGAGAUGAAGUAUAGGGCCUGACAGCUGCCCGGUGCCGGAAGGUUAAGAGGAGAUGUCAUCUUCGGAGAAGCAUUGAAUUGAAGCCCCGGUAAACGGCGGCCGUAACUAUAACGGUCCUAAGGUAGCGAAAUUCCUUGUCGGGUAAGUUCCGACCUGCACGAAUGGUGCAACGAUCUGGACACUGUCUCGGCCAUGAGCUCGGUGAAAUUGUAGUAUCGGUGAAGAUGCCGGUUACUCGCAAUGGGACGAAAAGACCCUGUGAACCUUUACUAUAGCUUCGUAUUGACUUUGGAUACCGCAUGUGUAGGAUAGGUGGGAGAAAUUGAAGCGGCGUCGCUAGGCGUUGUGGAUUCAAUCUUGAAAUACCACCCUUGCGUUAUUCGGAGCCUAAUCUCUAACGAGAGACAGUGCGUGGUGGGUAGUUUGACUGGGGUGGUCGCCUCCAAAAGGGUAACGGAGGCUUCCAAAGGUACCCUCAGUACGGUUGGCAAUCGUACGUAGAGUGUAAUGGCAUAAGGGUGCUUGACUGUGAGACAUACAAGUCGAUCAGGGACGAAAGUCGGGCAUAGUGAUCCGGUGGUUCCGCAUGGAAGGGCCAUCGC